UUUUAGGCGUUAUGGGAGGUGGGGCUAAUUAGACUAUUUAGCCGCAUAUGUUUGCCUCUCAGACUCAAUGGGAGACACAUUCUCCUAAAAGGAUUACAGAUGUACCUGCUUCAGACUCUCGGGUUUGCUUGGCUGAUUUUUGGAUUCUCUACUGAUUGUGUUUCUGCCGCAGGAGCAAACGCAGCCUCCAGAAACGACUGUGGAAAAGACUGCAAUGGGACAAAGUAUGACACACAAGAAGCUGCUUGCUGUGGAAACAAACUUUACCCAGGGGCGAGUCUGUCUUGUUGUGGAAAGGAACCUUACAAUCCUGAAAAAGCAACCUGUUGCAAAGUACAAGACGGAAACACUCUCAGAGCCAAUGUUACUCAUGGUCUGAGUGAAAAGGUGUCCAACUGCUGUGGGCUGAAGCCCUACAACCCUGUCAAUGAAGUAUGCUGUCAAUCAACCAUCACUGCAAAACCUGGACUAAUGGCUGAAUGUUGCGGUAAAGAGGCUUUUGCCAAGGACAAGCAAUUGUGUUGCGGUGCAAGUGAUAAUAAGAAGAUUCUGGUGAGAAAUUCCAGUUUCCACCGGUGCUGCGGGCACAACCAGUAUGAUAACAGGACUCAGUGCUGCUGUGAGAAUGAAGGUGUUCUGGAGGUACAACCGAAGGAUUCAUCUUGCUGUGACAAGAGCUCCACUACAGGAGUGCAAAAUGUGGGAAUUCUGCAUUGUGGUCCGAAUGAUAAUAAGAAGAGUCUGGUGAGGAAUUCCACUUUCCACCAGUGCUGCGGUCACCACCAGUAUGACAACAGGACUCAGUGCUGCUGUGAGAAUGAAGGUUUUCUGGAGGUACAACCGAAGCAUUCAUCUUGCUGUGCAAAGGAGUCAGCUAACCCUGAAGGUUUUCAACAACUGACACAUGAGCUCCAACACUUUUGCACUGAACCAAACACACAUCUCUGUGGGUCGACAUGUUACAAUCCAAAGACGCAUCGUUGCUGUGAGAGACACCAAAAGCCUUUUUGGUUCUGCGCCUCAGGUCAAAGCAAGGCCAGGGUGUAUGACCCACGUAUAGAAGUCUGCCGUGAUGGAUCCGUAUUUCAAUGCAAGCCGUGGCUAGAUCAAUUUUAUGGCAGCCCGGGACAACACUGCUGUGGGACGGAAAUUUACCGGCCUCGUACUGAGAUCUGCUGCAAUGGACACAGACACCCCAAAUCAGAAAACCUUCACUGCUGUGGGGUCAAAGCCUACAACAUUAAAGACCCACAGAUGAAGUGCUGUGCAGGAACACUGUACAAUCUGACAUCAUUAGACAAGCAUGGAGGGGACGCUCAGUGCUGCGGAUCCAUCCUGCAAAAGCCACAGGAUAUUUGCUGCUCAAGCCAGGAAAAAGAGGUGCUUUACUCUGUCAAGACAGGAUUUGGAUGCUGUGGUCACCUCUAUUACAACACCAGCCUGUGCUCAUGCUGUGCGGAGAGGCUGAGAAGAAUCCAUGAACCAGGAAAGGAUCAGAGAAACAUGAUGCAUGGAUCCAGACUUCUAUCUUUGAAUAAUCUAAACACAAGUGAUCUCUGCAAAGAAAUGUACAUUGGGACUGUGGAAAGUGUGUCUGUGAAGAGCGUUGUGUUCAGGAAUGUGCUAUGGGUUCAUGGGAAAUAUUCCAACGUGACAGCUCUGCCUUUGCAUCACAUCUUGGACAUAGAUGAUCACUGCAAAUCACCUAAACUGUUUCUUGGGAAGACCUACAUCUUUAACAACGUUAAUAUUUUCACUGAUUUCAACCAUGACUCUGUUCUUCAGUCGCUCCAUUUCAUUUUUUAUAAAUGUUCAUCUUAGAUCACCACUGUCUGAUCUAUGUAUGGUCAGUUAUUAGCUAUUCCCUUGUUUUUGUCUUAGAACAAGUAAUUAAUUUUUAUUUACUCAGUGCUGGUUUUCUUACUCUAAAAUAGUGCUACACUAAGAGUAAUGCAUAGGGGUUUUUUAUCCUCAGAAGAAUGUACUGUUAAAGUACUCAUUACAGGGAUGUUCUCUUACAUGGUCUAUUAACAAUAUAACACUGAACCUUAGAAAUGCCCAUUAAUUUGUAAAACUCUACCCUAAAAGGAAAGACCAUUGAAGCUUAACAUUUGGGCACUUUGCUGGUGUAAGCAUAAAAUCAAAGAACCAGCCAUAUUUCUAUCACACAUUUUAUUUUUACAUUAGUUAUUGUUGUGCAAGCACACAUGAAAAUGUUUUAAAAUGUGAUCUUUUUAAUCUUUUUGUUACCUAAAUAAUUGAAGAACAUGUAACUCAAUUGAAUUAAUUCAUUAACUGAAAUAUGUUUACUCAAUAAUGCAUUAUAGAAAAAAUUAACUUGAUUAGGGAUUGCAUUACUUUUCAACUGUUUAAAUUUAAAAAAUCCAGAAUUAGUUAUUAGUGAUAUUACUUACAAGUUGCUAUCAGUAAUGCAUUAAAUGUUCAACGCUCAUUUCCAUCCAAACCAUGUUGCUCUGUUUUUGAACGCAUCCCAAAAUGUGUGCUCGGUAAUUACUACUGUUACACAGCUAAUUAGUGCACAGUGUUGUUAACUUAUACAUGCAGUAAUGCAAUAUGACCAUUAUCUUUCAAAGUCUUAAAAAGCUAAAGUAGUAACUAGGAUAUCCAAGCUAGUGUUGGUUUGAAAUUAACAGUAGCUAACACCUUAGCUAUCAGUGUAACAGGAAGCAAGGCAUGCAAGAAUGUUAGCAUACAGCUUAACGGUCACAUAAGCUAAACUGCUAUCAGCUAAUAUUGUUUGUCAUUUGAAAUUUUUGUGACUGUUAUUUCUAUGCCUCUUUUUUGCACUGAACUAAAUUGUAAAUGGCAACUAUUUGCACUUUUUGAACCAUACAAUUGAAUGUAUAAAUGUACUGUAAAGCAUGAUUUAUUUGAAAGAUAAAGCUUGUAACUGUCAAAUGGUUAGUUGACAAUACCAUUAUUAUAAGCACCCCAGUUCUCACUGAUCCCUCUAAAAAUGCAAUAUUUCUGUUUCUUUGUAAGUACCUACUUUUAAUCACCUUGACCCAAGUUAUUUUUAUAUAUGUGACUUUCGGGAAGAUGUUUGGCAUUUAUUGUACUGUGUCUUUACUAAAUUGGUAAGAACAUACCUUUAAGCUACUAACAGGACAAGCUCAUGAUAUACAGUAUAUAUAUUAUAUAUUAUAUUGCAUGUUUAUAUUUAAUAUUUAAUAGCACCUCCUGUAUUAUUAAGUUUUAAAUAAAUAAGAAGAUAAGAAUAAUUGAAUGUGUGUGUGAUUUUUUUUAUUACUUUUAUUACUUAUUAUUUUAUUUAUUACUUUAUUACUUUUUAUUACAUAACAAUUUAUUGGACUAUAUAUACAUAACUAUUACUACAUUUUAUAUACACAUUGUUUAUUUGUAUAUUUGUAGAUAUUCAACAGAAUUAGAUAAUAAAUCAAUACUCUGUGCUU
ensembl:lncRNA